rnacentral:rRNA from 1 species
UACAGAGGUCCCAAGCGUUGUUCGGAUUCACUGGGCGUAAAGGGUGCGUAGGUGGUCGUAUAAGUUUGAUGUGAAAUCUCCGGGCUUAACCCGGAAACUGCAUUGAAUACUAUUCGGCUGGAGGGUUGGAGGGGGGACUGGAAUACUUGGUGUAGCAGUGAAAUGCGUAGAUAUCAAGUGGAACACCAGUGGCGAAGGCGAGUCCCUGGACAACUCCUGACACUGAGGCACGAAAGCUAGGGGAGCAAACAGG